rnacentral:rRNA from 1 species
UGCAGUCGAGCGAACAGAUAAGGAGCUUGCUCCUUUGACGUUAGCGGCGGACGGGUGAGUAACACGUGGGUAACCUACCUAUAAGACUGGGAUAACUUCGGGAAACCGGAGCUAAUACCGGAUAACAUUUGGAACCGCAUGGUUCUAAAGUGAAAGAUGGUUUUGCUAUCACUUAUAGAUGGACCCGCGCCGUAUUAGCUAGUUGGUAAGGUAACGGCUUACCAAGGCGACGAUACGUAGCCGACCUGAGAGGGUGAUCGGCCACACUGGAACUGAGACACGGUCCAGACUCCUACGGGAGGCAGCAGUAGGGAAUCUUCCGCAAUGGGCGAAAGCCUGACGGAGCAACGCCGCGUGAGUGAUGAAGGGUUUCGGCUCGUAAAACUCUGUUAUUAGGGAAGAACAAACGUGUAAGUAACUGUGCACGUCUUGACGGUACCUAAUCAGAAAGCCACGGCUAACUACGUGCCAGCAGCCGCGGUAAUACGUAGGUGGCAAGCGUUAUCCGGAAUUAUUGGGCGUAAAGCGCGCGUAGGCGGUUUCUUAAGUCUGAUGUGAAAGCCCACGGCUCAACCGUGGAGGGUCAUUGGAAACUGGGAAACUUGAGUGCAGAAGAGGAAAGUGGAAUUCCAUGUGUAGCGGUGAAAUGCGCAGAGAUAUGGAGGAACACCAGUGGCGAAGGCGACUUUCUGGUCUGUAACUGACGCUGAUGUGCGAAAGCGUGGGGAUCAAACAGGAUUAGAUACCCUGGUAGUCCACGCCGUAAACGAUGAGUGCUAAGUGUUAGGGGGUUUCCGCCCCUUAGUGCUGCAGCUAACGCAUUAAGCACUCCGCCUGGGGAGUACGACCGCAAGGUUGAAACUCAAAGGAAUUGACGGGGACCCGCACAAGCGGUGGAGCAUGUGGUUUAAUUCGAAGCAACGCGAAGAACCUUACCAAAUCUUGACAUCCUUUGAAAACUCUAGAGAUAGAGCCUUCCCCUUCGGGGGACAAAGUGACAGGUGGUGCAUGGUUGUCGUCAGCUCGUGUCGUGAGAUGUUGGGUUAAGUCCCGCAACGAGCGCAACCCUUAAGCUUAGUUGCCAUCAUUAAGUUGGGCACUCUAGGUUGACUGCCGGUGACAAACCGGAGGAAGGUGGGGAUGACGUCAAAUCAUCAUGCCCCUUAUGAUUUGGGCUACACACGUGCUACAAUGGACAAUACAAAGGGCAGCUAAACCGCGAGGUCAUGCAAAUCCCAUAAAGUUGUUCUCAGUUCGGAUUGUAGUCUGCAACUCGACUACAUGAAGCUGGAAUCGCUAGUAAUCGUAGAUCAGCAUGCUACGGUGAAUACGUUCCCGGGUCUUGUACACACCGCCCGUCACACCACGAGAGUUUGUAACACCCGAAGCCGGUGGAGUAACCAUUUAUGGAGCUAGCCGUCGA